rnacentral:rRNA from 1 species
GAGACUCUGUGCGCGUGCAUAUCAAUAAGCGGAGGAAAAGAAACUGACAAGGAUUCCCCUAGUAACGGCGAGUGAAGCGGGAAGAGCUCAAAUUUGAAAUCUUCAAGGUUUUACCUUGACGAAUUGUAGUUUAAAGAAGUGUUUUCUGUUGGAGUUUCGGUAAAAGUUCUUUGGAAUAGGACAUCAUAGAGGGUGAGAAUCCCGUAUUUGACCGUUACUUUCCAGCUGUGUGAUACACUUUCAACGAGUCGGAUUGUUUGGGAAUGCAGUCCAAAAUGGGUGGUAAAUUUCAUCUAAAGCUAAAUAUUGGCGAGAGACCGAUAGCGAACAAGUACCGUGAGGGAAGGAUGAAAAGAACUUUGAAAAGAGAGUUAAACAGUACGUGAAAUUGUCAAAAGGGAAGCGUUUGACACCAGUGUUGUUUUUCCGAAAAUCAAUUACGAAUGUUUUAGUUUUUAAGGAAGUUAUGACUUCAUCGGCUUGCUCCUUUCUUUAUGAAACUUUCCUAAUGCACUUUUCGUUUAACAAGUCAACAUCAAUUUCUUUUGUUGUAAAAGGGUCAUUGGAAGGUGGCUUUCUUUUCGGAGAAAGUGUUUAUAGCCUUUGAUCUCUGCAACCGGAGAGACUGAGGUCUGCAGCGUAGACUCUUCGGGGUUAAAUACAUUUGUGCUAAGCUAUAGCUUUUUAUAGACAACUUGUUGACUAUAUUUAGUCUUGUGGCUUACUCGCUUAUGCUAUUUUACCUACGCUUAGGAUGUUGAAGUCAUCGUAUCGCGC